rnacentral:rRNA from 1 species
UCUUCUUGAAGUGAYGAGAAGUCGGUCCUGUCCMCUGAUUAUUUAAAGGGCCGCGGUAUUUUGACCGUGCAAAGGUAGCAUAAUCAUUAGUCUUUUAAUUGAGGGCUGGAAUGAAUGGUUUGACGAAACAAUAACUGUCUCUAAUUAAAUAUAUUGAAUUUUACUUUUAAGUUAAAAGGCUUAAAUAUAUAAGUGGGACGAGAAGACCCUAUAGAUCUUUAUGAUGUAUAUUAUAAUAUUAAUUAUGGAUUAAUAUAAUAUUUAUAAAUAUAUAAUUAUUGUAUUGGGGUGAUAUGAGAAUAUUAUAACUUCUUGAAUUUUAACUUUGAUAAAUGAUUAGAAGAUCCUUUAAUAUGGAAUUAAGAUUAAGAUACCUUAGGGAUAACAGCGUAAUUUUAUUGGAAAGUUCUUAUUGAUAAUAAAGAUUGCGACCUCGAUGUUGGAUUAAGAAUAUAUAUGUUGGUGUAGGUGCUGUAGUA